rnacentral:rRNA from 1 species
AUUGAACGCUGGCGGCAUGCCUUACACAUGCAAGUCGAACGGCAGCACGGGGCAACCUGGUGGCGAGUGGCGAACGGGUGAGUAAUGCAUCGGAACGUACCUUUCAGUGGGGGAUAACGUAGCGAAAGUUACGCUAAUACCGCAUAUUCUGUGAGCAGGAAAGCAGGGGAUCGCAAGACCUUGCGCUGAUUGAGCGGCCGAUGUCAGAUUAGCUAGUUGGUGAGGUAAAGGCUCACCAAGGCGACGAUCUGUAGCGGGUCUGAGAGGAUGAUCCGCCACACUGGAACUGAGACACGGGCCAGACGCCUACGGGAGGCAGCAGGUGGGAAUUUUGGACAAUGGGGGCAACCCUGAUCCAGCCAUGCCGCGUGAGUGAAGAAGGCCUUCGGGUUGUAAAGCUCUUUCGGCCGGGAAGAAAUCGCACGGGCUAAUACCCUGUGUGGAUGACGGUACCGGAAUAAGAAGCACCGGCUAACUACGUGCCAGCCGCCGCAGUAAGAC